rnacentral:rRNA from 1 species
AUAUCAAUAAGCGGAGGAAAAGAAACUAACAAGGAUUCCCCUAGUAACUGCGAGUGAAGCGGGAACAGCUCAAAUUUGAAAUCCUUCGGGAAUUGUAGUUUAGAGAAGCGUUUUCGGCAAUGGUCUUGGUUUAAGUCCCUUGGAAUAGGGUGUCAUAGAGGGUGAGAACCCCGUUAAACUUUGACCGGAGCUAUGUGAUACGCUUUCCAAGAGUCGGGUUGUUUGGGAUUGCAGCCCAAAAUGGGAGGUAAAUUUCUUCUAAAGCUAAAUAUUGGCGAGAGACCGAUAGCGCACAAGUA